AAUUCCGCGAAUCAUCGAGUCUUUGAACGCAAGUUGCGCCCGAGGCUUGUCCGAGGGCAUUUCCGCUAGAGCGUCACCGCGCCCCCCC
rnacentral:rRNA from 1 species